rnacentral:ncRNA from 1 species
ACAUUUAUAUCUUGCUUUUAUUUUUACAUUUGAAUUUUAACUUCCAGCAAAAAAGAGAAAAAUAAAACAGCUACAAAAAACUAUAAUAACACAACAUAAAACAACAAAAGCACUACCCAAAUGGCUAUACAAAUGCCAUGAUUUCAAUAUCGGAAAUAAACACAGUUAGGUCAUACUUGGUCAUGAUGAAACCUUGAGGAUACAUCACGAAAUUUUGGAGGGCUGUCAGUGCAAUCGCACGGGCUACGAUCGAUUAGCCUUCGCGCAACGAGGCUUCCUCCCGCGAGUGCGCCCUCUCAACUGUCGAUAGGCAAGAUGAAUGUUGACUGUAGUGGAAAUGGGUAAAUAAGAUUCAGGUUUCGAAUUCCAGAGAGGGAGCAUGCGAAAUGGCCACAGUAUCCGAGGAAGGCAGCAAGCGCGCAAGUUACCCACUCCCAGCACGGGGAGGUAGUGACGAAAAAUAACGACGCGGGACUCUGUCGAGGUCCCGCGAUCUGAAGGAGUACACUUCAAAUCCGUUAACGAGGAUCGACCGGAGGGCAAGACUGGUGCCAGCAGCCGUGGUAACUCCAGCUCCUGCAGCGU